rnacentral:rRNA from 1 species
AACGAACGCUGGCGGCAUGCCUAACACAUGCAAGUCGAACGAGACCUUCGGGUCUAGUGGCGCACGGGUGCGUAACGCGUGGGAAUCUACCCUUGGGUUCGGAAUAACUCAGAGAAAUUUGAGCUAAUACCGGAUGAUGUCGAAAGACCAAAGAUUUAUCGCCCAAGGAUGAGCCCGCGUAGGAUUAGCUAGUUGGUGAGGUAAAGGCUCACCAAGGCAACGAUCCUUAGCUGGUCUGAGAGGAUGAUCAGCCACACUGGGACUGAGACACGGCCCCAGACUCCUACGGGAGGCAGCAGUGGGGGAAUAUUGGACAAUGGGCGAAAGCCUGAUCCAGCAAUGCCGCGUGAGUGAUGAAGGCCUUAGGGUUGUAAAGCUCUUUACCCGGGAUGAUAAUGACAGUACCGGGAGAAUAAGCCCCGGCUAACGUCCGUG